CAGAGCGGCCGGAUCUGCCGGCGAGGAGGCCGGAGUCACCGGAUCCAGCGGUCCCGGCCUCCUCGUUGGCGGAUGCGGCGGCGGGA
rnacentral:pre_miRNA from 1 species